GAUGAAGAACGUAGUGAAAUGCGAUAAGUAAUGUGAAUUGCAGAAUUCAGUGAAUCAUCGAAUCUUUGAACGCACAUUGCGCCCGGCAGCAAUCUGCCGGGCAUGCCUGUCCGAGCGUCAUUUCUUCCCUCGAGCGCGGCUAGCCCUACGGGGCCUGCCGUCGCCCGGUGUUGGGGCUCUACGGGUGGGGCUCGUCCCCCCCGCAGUCCCCGAAAUGUAGUGGCGGUCCAGCCGCGGCGCCCCCUGCGUAGUAGAUCCUACAUCUCGCAUCGGGUCCCGGCGAAGGCCAGCCGUCGAACCUUUUAUUUCAUGGUUUGACCUCGGAUCAGGUAGGGUUACCCGCUGAACUUAAGCAUAUCAAUAAGCGGAGGA
rnacentral:misc_RNA from 1 species